UACGUAGGGGGCGAGCGUUGUCCGGAUUUAUUGGGCGUAAAGAGCUCGUAGGCGGUUUGGUAAGUUGGAUGUGAAAUCUCCAGGCUCAACUUGGAGGGGUCAUUCGAUACUGCCAUGACUAGAGUUCGGUAGGGGAGUGUGGAAUUCCUGGUGGAGCGGUGAAAUGCGCAGAUAUCAGGAGGAACACCCGUAGCGAAGGCGGCACUCUGGGCCGGAGCUGACGCUGAGGAGCGAAAGCGUGGGGAGCGAACAGG
rnacentral:rRNA from 1 species